CUUCUGCCAUGAUGAUAAUGGACUGAACCUCUGAACUAACAGGGCUUGGCACAGAGUUGCUGCUCAGAAGCCACCGGGAGCUAGCUGACUGACAGACACUCGUGGCUGUCGUGAGGUUUAAACACACACCAGAGUGUAUUCAAGCCACCACUCUGGAGUUCACGGUAAAGCUAAACACUUACUGCCGUGACAGCAGUGUUCCUCCUGGGUAGACACACGAGAGAAACGACCGCACACAUCUGAAGGAGGUCGGGCACACAUCUGAACGCAUGCAGCGGCCUGGUGACCGCAGCCAAGGCCAUCAAGAAGAGACCAGACUUGCACCGAUGUGCUCUCUUCCAUUUGUACAUAGAAAAGCCACUCGGCAAGAAGAGCUUCUGUGCUGAUACGCCCAGGUUGGAUGACACUCGUGGGCAAUACGUCGAUCAAAGGAUUCCAGAAUUUUUCAUGUCAGAGAAGAAAAUGUGUUCUGACCUCAUGGUUGCCAGAGGACACUGUGUGUGGCUUUCUCGUGAUUCUCCCACUCGGGUAUUGGUGGAUCCCUUCCUGGAAUAUAAACUGAACACCGGACUUAAUGUAGGCAGGACCAAUGUCUACAAAGCAUUUACUCCUUUACUGAGCUAUGAAGGUUUGAGAAAGAUAUUUGACUCGCUAAAUCAGGGGUUCUCAACCUUCCUAAGGCUGCAACUCUUUAAUACAGUUCCUCAUGUUGUGGUA